GAUGAAGAACGCAGCAAAAUGCGAUAAGUAGUGUGAAUUGCAGAAUUCAGUGAAUCAUCGAAUCUUUGAACGCACAUUGCGCCCGCCAGUAUUCUGGCGGGCAUGCCUGUUCGAGCGUCAUUACAACCCUCAGGCCCCCGGGCCUGGCGUUGGGGAUCGGCGGAGCCCCCCGUGGGCACACGCCGUCCCCCAAAUACAGUGGCGGUCCCGCCGCAGCUUCCAUCGCGUAGUAGCUAACACCUCGCGACUGGAGAGCGGCGCGGCCACGCCGUAAAACACCCAACUCUUCUGAAGUUGACCUCGAAUCAGGUAGGAAUACCCGCUGAACUUAAGCAUAUCAAUAAGCGGAGGA
rnacentral:misc_RNA from 1 species